GGAGUGUACAGCUCAGUGGUAGAGCGUAUGCUUAACAUGCACAAGGUCCUGGGCUCAAUCCCCAGUAGCUCCA
rfam:Camelus ferus unplaced genomic scaffold scaffold172, whole genome shotgun sequence.